GACGAACGCUGGCGGCGUGCCUAAUACAUGCAAGUCGAACGCAGUGGGGACGGGUGAGUAACACGUGGGUAACCUCCCAUCAGAGGGGAUAACACUUGGAAACAGGUGCUAAACCGAUACUGAUGGAUGGACCCGCGGUGCAUUAGCUAGUUGGUGAGGUAACGGCGCACCAAGGCCACGAUGCAUAGCCGACCUGAGAGGGUGAGCGGCCACACUGGGACUGAGAAACGGCCCAGACCCAUCGGGUAGGCAGCAGUAGGGAAUCUUCGGCAAUUGAGGAAAGGCUGACCGAGCAACGCCGCGUGAGGGAAGAAGGUUUUCGGAUCGUAAAACUCUGUUGUUAGAGAAGCGGUAUCUAACCAGAAAGCCACGGCUAACUACGUGCCAGCAGCCGCGGUAAUUC
rnacentral:rRNA from 1 species